ACCAUGGUCAGAUAAAGUGAUUCAUUUGAAAGACCAACCAGGUCGAGCAAUUUGUUGGAGACAUCCAGCUGAUUGGAAGCUUGAUCAGAAGGCUAGCUGACAGGACUGAUAUAUUUGUUGAAUGAGCAGCAUGCAGAAGCAACAUGUGAUAUAGAGGAAGUGUUUUCUCGCUUUCCUACAUCUUAUGUGGAUGAGGAGUUCAAUAUUGACUUCACAUGGAAAGAUUUGACGGGGAAUGAAUUGGAGCCACCUCCAUAUGCUCACAUCAAGGGCCUUAUCCUAUAUAUGCUAUGUGAUAUAUUGAGUAAUUUCAUACAUUCUGUCGUUGACUGGUUUAUUAUAUUACUAACAGCACUUUGUGAAAGGAAUAGUUUUAGUGUUUCCA